rnacentral:rRNA from 1 species
UACGUAGGGGGCAAGCGUUGUCCGGAUUUAUUGGGCGUAAAGAGCGUGUAGGCGGCCUGAAAGGUCAGCUGUGAAAACUCGAGGCUCAACCUCGAGACGUCGGUUGAAACCAUCUGGCUAGAGUCCGGAAGAGGAGUGUGGAGUUCCCGGUGUAGCGGUGAAAUGCGCAGAUAUCGGGAAGAACACCCGUGGCGAAGGCGGCACUCUGGGACGGUACUGACGCUGAGACGCGAAAGCGUGGGGAGCGAACAGG